rnacentral:rRNA from 1 species
GACGAACGCUGGCGGCGUGCUUAACACAUGCAAGUCGAGCGGUAAGGCCCUUUCGGGGGUACACGAGCGGCGAACGGGUGAGUAACACGUGGGUGACCUGCCCUCAGCUCUGGGAUAAGCCUGGGAAACCGGGUCUAAUACCGGAUAUGACUCCAUGACGCAUGUUGUGGGGUGGAAAGCCUUGUGCGGCUGAGGAUGGGCCCGCGGCCUAUCAGCUUGUUGGUGGGGUGAUGGCCUACCAAGGCGACGACGGGUAGCCGGCCUGAGAGGGCGACCGGCCACACUGGGACUGAGACACGGCCCAGACUCCUACGGGAGGCAGCAGUGGGGAAUAUUGGACAAUGGGCGCAAGACCUGAUCCAAGCAAUGCCGCGUGUGUGAAGAAGGCCUGCGGGUUGUAAAGCACGUUCAGUCGGGAGGAAA